GCAGAAAGGAGAACUGAAGGAGAAGUCUAGAGAAGCCAGCUACACCUACAUUAGAAAGAGUGGAACAGAUCACGGGUCACAGGAUUAAGGCUAGAUGGGGUUUGAGAUGUGGGAAGACUUGAGGUCAUUUUGAGUUUUGAGAAAAGGAGAGACAUGAAGAGGCAGAAAACAUGUUUACUGGACCCAGCUACUUUGCAAAAUCCGUCCUGGAAUUUGGCACAUGUAUGGGAUAUGGAUAGAAAAUAAGAGCAAAGAGGAAUUCAAGAUAAUGAAGCAAUAUAAACAAAAGUUGAAAAGAGAAAAUGAGCAUGCAGUGCCUAGAGAUGCCAAGGAAUCCAGAUCACUGAGGUUGUUUCACUGUGGGUAACUGCUAAGGCCUUCACCCUUGAUGCCAGAGGUGCUGAAACACAUUGCCACACGGCGAAAGAAGUGCCCUAUUGGCCCAACCACAU
rnacentral:lncRNA from 1 species